AACUUCUAACUUGUGGGUUUCGGUGGGGCGGAGUGAAAAACGGAACAAAAACUUGGACAGAGAGAGACUGCGUUUUUGAUCUGCGGUUGUGUCUUUGUAUCAGUCACGCUGCUUUUCACUUCUCUCUUUCCCUUUCAGGUCGGGGAAGAAUGCAGACGAGUCGGAGGAUGCUUCGGCCAAUCGCUAGAGAUGCACCGGGUGCUGCCAAAGGACAGACUGGAAAGGCACAAAAUUGUGGCUACGUGGUAGGUUUGUGUGGUAUGCAUUGUGAAAGCAUGUCCAUCAGAGCCUUUCUUUUUGUUUACUGCAUCAUUCAAGUUCAUAGGAGUAUUGACUUGAAGUAAUUUUUUGGGACGAUUGUGUGGAAUAAACAAUUUUCGUUCCAUCUCCUGA